rfam:Pseudomonas fluorescens ABAC62 scaffold369_001, whole genome shotgun sequence.
UUCGGCAGGGAUUUGGGGGGUAAACCGGCAGGGAUGCCGGUUUAGCCGCCCCGCGCCAUGGAUGGCGCGUGGCGGCG